rnacentral:rRNA from 1 species
GACGAACGCUGGCGGCGUGCUUAACACAUGCAAGUCGAACGGAAGGGCCCUGCUUUUGUGGGGUGCUCGUUUGGCGAACGGGUGAGUAACACGUGAGUAACCUGUCCUUGUCUUUGGGAUAACUUCAGGAAACUGGGGCUAAUACCGGAUAGGAGCUCCUGCUGCAUGGUGGGGGUUGGAAAGUUUCGGCGGUUGGGGCUGGACUCGCGGCUUAUUCGCUAGUUGGUAGGGUAGUGGCUUACCAAGGCUUUGACGGGUAGCCGGCGUGAGAGGGUGACCGGCCACAUGGGAAGUGGGACAGGGUCCAGACUCCGACGGGAGGCAGCAGUAGGGAACCUUCCGCAAUGGGCGAAAGCCUGACGGAGCAACGUCGCGUGAUUGAUGAAGGUCGUCGGAUCGUAAAACUCUGUUAUUAGGGAAGAACAUAUGUGUAAGUAACUGUGCACAUCUUGACGGUACCUAAUCAGAAAGCCACGGCUAACUACGUG